UACGUAGGGUGCAAGCGUUGUCCGGAAUUAUUGGGCGUAAAGAGCUCGUAGGCGGUCUGUCGCGUCGGCUGUGAAAUCCCGAGGCUCAACCUCGGGUCUGCAGUCGAUACGGGCAAACUGGAGUACUGCAGGGGAGACUGGAAUUCCUGGUGUAGCGGUGAAAAUGCGCAGAUAUCAGGAGGAACACCGGUGGCGAAGGCGGGUCUCUGGGCAGUAACUGACGCUGAGGCGCGAAAGCGUGGGGAGCAAACAGG
rnacentral:rRNA from 1 species